rnacentral:tRNA from 1 species
GCUGCUGUAGCUCAGUGGUAGAGCACUCCCUUGGUAAGGGAGAGAUCGACAGUUCAAUCCUGUCGUGCAACACCA